ACCUCUAGCAUUACUAGUAUUAGAGGCACUGCCUGCCCGGUGACACACGUUUAACGGCCGCGGUACCCUGACCGUGCAAAGGUAGCAUAAUCACUUGUUCUUUAAAUAGGGACUUGCAUGAAUGGCAUCACGAGGGUUUGACUGUCUCUUACUUUUAACCAGUGAAAUUGACCUAUCCGUGAAGAGACGGAUAUAGCACAAUAAGACGAGAAGACCCUAUGGAGCUUUAAUUUAUUAAUGCAACUAAAAACUACACAAACCUACAGGCCCCUAAACUACUAUACCUGCAUUAAAAAUUUUGGUUGGGGUGACCUCGGAGCACAGCCAAACCUCCGAAUAAUUAAUGCUAAGACUACACAAGUCGAAGCGAACUAAUAUUUACAACUGAUCCAAUAACUUGAUCAACGGAACAAGUUACCCUAGGGAUAACAGCGCAAUUCUAUUCUAGAGUCCAUAUCGACAAUAGAGUUUACGACCUCGAUGUUGGAUCAGGACAUCCUAAUGGUGCAGCAGCUAUCAAGGUU
rnacentral:rRNA from 1 species